ACGCGACGCUGUAUGAAGGUUUGAGGCUUUUGGAGGUUUAAGUGACUCAUCAUCUCAACCCUCAACAUGCCUGAAGAACAGCUGACGAACACUUCUGAGGAGCUGAACCGGCUGUCCUUUCGCAGACAGCAGCUGAUGGACAAACGCAACAUCCUGGCAAUGCUCAUCCAGUUCAAGCGAAACAACGGCCAAAAUGAGCAACAGUAUUCCAGAGAGACCGAAGAACUUAAAGAAAUUGAUGAGCAGCUUAACAUUCUCUCUGAGAAGAAGAUUCAACUGGAGAAUAAACAAGGAAGUUUAAGAAGGACUCCUUUAAUAGACACAACGGUUUCAACUGAUGUGAUAAUUAUAGAGAGUCCACCACCUUAUCCAGCUCCUCGGGUGAUUCUGGAUGUUCAGCAACUACCUCGACACUCCUCUCAGACGCAGUGUCCAUACUGUCACCAGUUUGUAACCACGGACGUAACAACCAAAGCUGGCAGUGCGACCUAUAUUGUGUGUUUAAUUUCCAUUCUUUUUUGUUGUGUGGCUGGUUGCUGUGUAAUCCCGUUCUGCGUGGAUGGAUGCAAAGACGUCGUUCACAAGUGUCCAAAGUGUCGUAGUCACAUAAUAACAUGCAAAAAGCUCUGAGGACUGGAAUUUUUGAAUCCACGUCAUGUGAAAGGUUGCUGGAAUGGUUUCUGGCAAUGACAUCCUGAACGUUUUACAGGGACGGUCCCCAUGGAAUUACCUGGAGUGCCUUUCUUUGAGGAUACGGUGGCGAUAUGUCAUGGUUCUCUCUUUGAGGGGACUGAGCCAACUUUUCGGUUUUCCUUAAAGCUUACCUCCAGAACUAAAAAUACCAAAGGGAAAAUGUAAGACAACUGGAUCUUCAGGGUGACAUCCGUCUUCUGCUAGGAAUUUUAAGAGCAUUCAAUGGCACAUUUGAAUUUUGGGUUGAAUACUUGCUAAAGCACUGAACACUUUCAGGUUCUACAGGAAUGUAAAAAAAUGGAAUCAAGACACAACCAGGGUUUCUGCAGGCCUUCAUUAAACCGUCUGACCAUUUAAGGCCUGAAAACAGCAGAAAGUCAAGAUACAUUUAUUUGAUAUGCAAAUAUAAAAUGAAGUCUUGGAAAAACUGCACACUUUUAGGUGUGUUUAUACUUAAUAAAUAUCUGUAACGAUGUGGUUUUUUCAAGCUGAUUUUUUGAGCCUAUUGACUGAUAUUUGGGGGGGGGGGGUCAAUCACCGAAGGUGUGUAGGUAAACAUUGUAUCCGUUAGUUUUAUUCUUCUUCUUCCGCUCGAGUCUAUGGCAGCUCAGAACUUUAUUUUCCACUGUCUGAAUUUGCACUCAUGCUUAUUUAGAACUCUAAGGGAUGUUUAUUUAGAUGUAAAAUGCUAUAUUUUAUGAAUGCAUUAGCGUAUCAUUACAAAACUCUGUAUGUGUUUUCAUCACCAUGCCCUGAAGGUAUUCAAAACAUUUCAAUCUUGUGGUCAAAAAGUAGCCUAUAAUGAAAUGUCAAACCAUUUUAAUAGCUUUCGAUUAGUAUUGCCUAUUACUGUAUUCUUCUUUAAUUUUUUGUAAGUGAUAAAGUUUGAAGCUGUAUUUUUAAACUUUGAAGUAUUGCUAAUACAAGCCAUUUUCUGCUACUGCGAGACAUUUACAUGUUGAAAACAUGGACAUAUUGUGUUCCCUUCAAUUUAUUCCUUAAAAGUUUAUUUAGUUUAUUUCAAGUCUUAAAUUUACCUCUAUAAAAUCUGCAGAAACCCUGGUAAUAUUUUGUCACCAUAAGUCUGAUUCUGUUUGUAGUGUGUUGUAGAGUACGAGUUCUUCACAGCUGAUUAAAAACAAUUCUACAUUAUUUUAGCUUGUUUUGUAGGUUAUAAAUUGCAAAGUUGUCUUUGAGAAAAUACUGUCUUUGCUAAAAUGUCAAAAUGACAAGUCUAUUUAUUGAGUUGUUCGCUUUCUUUGUAUCAUAAGUAAGGUUAUGUGCGGCCUUUGGAAGGCCAUAAAAGUACAUUUUUAAUGGUUUCAAAUACAGGAACAUUUUAAUGAUAAAAGGCUGUAUAUACAAUAAAGAUAUGUACAAAGAUUACCUCCAAACAUUAUUUACAGUUGCACAAAUACAUUUGUGUAAAAUGUAUAUUGUAAAAAUAUAUACACUGUGCAAAAUAUGAGGCAUACAAUCUAUGUCACACUUCAAAGGGUCAGUAAGAUUUCAAUUACUUUGAUGUUGAAAAUAAAGGUACAGAACUCCUAAUAAUCUUUAAAGGUUUACGAUAGGAGUUUACUCCAAAGCAGGUCUUUUUUCACACUAAAAAUAUAUAGAGAGAGACAUAAAAAGUGUGAUAAAAAUAUGUGAGAACUGCAUAAAUGCAAAAAAUUGUAUGUUUAGAAAAGUAAAAGCUUUGGGUCUCUGAUAGAGACAAAACGAUGGUAUCCCUUUAGAAAUUACAUUUCUAAAUAUAGAAAUACAUUCUUUUUGACAACAUGUUUGGAUAAGGAACUGAUUGUCAACGAGUUCACUCCAAGGUCAAGUAAGUGCACUAUUUGGCAUAUUUUUUUUUACAAAGUGUCUAAAAUGAAAUCUGCCAAACACUGAAAGAAAACAUUUCAUAGUGAAACAUCUGAAGGGAGUGGUGAGAAGAAAUUCAUUCAGCUGUCUGUCCCAGCAGAUGUCGCUACAUUGUCACAUUUUAUAAGAAAUAAGAACUAAUAACAAAUAAAUGAGAAAAUGAGGUUUAGGUACAUUAACAAAGGCAAAUUACCUGCCAACUACCUGUAUUUCAGUGGUAACGAAGAAAGAAACUUAAAUUCUGUGAAAUAUCGAGAAUCUGGCUUUAACUACAUCCAAAACAAACAGCUGCUCUCUGAUGUAGUUCUGAUCGCCUCAUCUGAAUAUGGAAAUUUCACUGGUCCUGUUUAGUGUUGUUUGUCUGGUCAAGACACGCAACAAUGGCAGUUCAGAAUGCAAGAUUUGAAUAUCUCUAGCUCUACUCUUUUGAAUGAGAUAAUAAUGGCCCCUGGUCAGGCAUUUGUGUGCCCCCCUCCCUCCCUCCCUCUCUUUGGCCCCAUGCUGGCAUUGGUAAACAAACUCGCUCUGGCCUUUUCCCAGUCCAUGCACCGAAUGAUUUCGAAUGUUUAGAAAUUGAAUGCUAUUAUUUAGCUGCCACAAUUUCAAGUAUCCUAACGCAACGGUUAACAGCUCAUUGAACAUGGCGGGUGGUAGUAACUGUAAAUAAGCCAUUAGACAGGUUCCUUUAAAUGCAGAUGACAUCACAUUUGUAUUACCAU
rnacentral:lncRNA from 1 species